GGAGGAAAGACCCAUAAUUUUACGUUCAGAUGGAAGUGCUUGAUCCUGAAUAUAAACAAGUAUGAAGAAUGGUAGUUAGACUUUAAAGUAAACAUUGAUUCAACCUUACAAACAAUCAUGGCCUUUAAAUACAUCCUCUUAAAUGUUCUCCUAAUCUGUUUCCAGAUGUUUGUUUGAGAGUUUGUGUGUGUGUCUGAGAUCGACGGCCCCCUCAGUCGUCUAAUUCCUGUCUCCGCCUCUACAUGGCUCCACCACCCUCAUUUGCACAAGCACUCUAUCCAUCCUGAGGAAAUAAAAGAGAAGGAGGCCUGGGAGAGUCAUCUCAGCAGCGAGACAGCUGGAGGAAUAGACCCAUCCAUACUUGACGAUGAGGUGGAGCGUACUUCCGUGUUGGAUCGUCACAUUGAUUCCAUUAAUCAGCUCCAGUAUCUACCUAAAAUAGGAAUGCAAACGACAACCACUCAUUCCAUAUGAGCAGCUGCUGGCAACAACAUCUACUUGCAGGAACGGGGGCCCUGGAUCUGUGUCGACCAGAGGCACCGCUGGGGAGAGCUUAUGUGAGUGAAGACUCAUCCCUGCUGUCCUAUCACUCAAUAGUAAGCUCGCUGUUCCUGUACAGAUGAACAG
ensembl:lncRNA